AAGUACGUGGGACACCAAGAAAAGGGUCCAACAGCAACCGGAGUGGGUGAUUCUCCAUGCUUUUUGAAUUCUGUUUGUGUCGAUUAUAUGGCCUCGAACAAGUCACUACAUU
rnacentral:snoRNA from 1 species